rnacentral:other from 1 species
AUCUCUGAGAUGUUCGUUAAUGGGUUUGUCCCCUGAGCCGAUAAUCUUUAUGAUAGAGUGGUUAUGCUUAUUGAUUGGUGUGUAUGCCUUCAUGUUAAGGAAACCUAAUAAUCAAACAUAACGCUCACCUUGAACUUCGGGUUCAAGGGUUAUAACUCAUGACGGCAUCUUGGAGUCU